rnacentral:rRNA from 1 species
AUACGGAGGAUCCGAGCGUUAUCCGGAUUUAUUGGGUUUAAAGGGUGCGCAGGCGGCCAUUUAAGUCAGCGGUUAAAUCGUGGGGCUCAACACAAUUCUGCCGUUGAUACUGGGUGGCUUGAAUGAGGUCGAGGUUGGCGGAAUUCGUUGUGUAGCGGGGAAAUGCAUUGAUAUGACGAAGAAAACCGAUUGCGUAGGCAGCUGACCAGACCGCAAAUGACGCUCAUGCACGAAAGUGCGGGGAUCGAACAGGAUUAGAUACCCUGGUAGUCCGCACAGUAAACGAUGAAUACUUGUUUUCGGCGAUAUAAUGUCGGAGGCAAAGCGAAAGCGAUAAGUAUUCCACCUGGGGAGUACGCCGGCAACGGUGAAACUCAAAUGAAUUGACGGGG